rnacentral:rRNA from 1 species
GACGAACGCUGGCGGCAUGCCUAAUACAUGCAAGUCGAGCGAACAGAUGAAGUGCUUGCACUUCUGACGUUAGCGGCGAACGGGUGAGUAACACGUAAGGAAUCUACCUAUAAGCGGGGGAUAACAUUCGGAAACGGGUGCUAAUACCGCAUAAUAUCUUCUUCCGCAUGGAAGAAGAUUGAAAGACGGCUCUGCUGUCACUUAUAGAUGACCUUGCGGUGCAUUAGUUGGUUGGUGGGGUAAUGGCCUACCAAGACGAUGAUGCAUAGCCGACCUGAGAGGGUGAUCGGCCAAAUGGGGACUGAGACACGGCCCAAACUCCUACGGGAGGCAGCAGUAGGGAAUCUUCCGCAAUGGGCGAAAGCCUGACGGAGCAAUGCCGCGUGAGUGAAGAAGGCCUUCGGGUCGUAAAACUCUGUUAUAAGGGAAGAACAAAUUGUAGAGUAACUGCUACAGUCUUGACGGUAUCUUAUCAGAAAGCCACGGCUAACUACGUGCCAGCAGCCGCAAGUAA